GACAGAGGUCCCGAGCGUUAGGCGGAAUCACUGGGCUUAAAGCGUGUGUAGGCGGAGUGCUAAGUACCUUGUGAAAUCCCACGGCUCAACCGUGGAACUGCUUGGUAUACUGCGGGUCUUGAGCCACUUAGGGGCAAGCGGAACAAACGGUGGAGCGGUGAAAUGCGUAGAUAUCGUUUGGAACGCCAAUGGUGAAAACAGCUUGCUGGGAGUGUGCUGACGCUGAGACACGAAAGCCAGGGGAGCAAACGGG
rnacentral:rRNA from 1 species